rnacentral:rRNA from 1 species
UUGGAGGGCAAGUCUGGUGCCAGCAGCCGCGGUAGUUCCAGCUCCAAUAGCGUAUAUUAAAGUUGUUGCAGUUAAAAAGCUCGUAGUUGAAUUUCGGGACCAAUUUGUUGGUCGUGCCUCGGUACGUACUGGUAUUAUUGGUUUCUCCCUUCUGAAGAACCUUGAUGUCAUUAAUUUGGUGUCUUGGGGAAUCAGGACUGUUACUUUGAAAAAAUUAGAGUGUUUAAAGCAGGCAAGCGCUUGAAUACAUUAGCAUGGAAUAAUGAAAUAGGACGUUUGAUCCUAUUUUGUUGGUUUCUAGGAUUGACGUAAUGAUUAAUAGGGAUAGUUGGGGGCAUUAGUAUUCAAUUGUCAGAGGUGAAAUUCUUGGAUUUAUUGAAGGCUGACUACUGCGAAAGCAUUUGCCAAGGAUGUUUUCAUUAAUCAAGAACGAAAGUUAGGGGAUCGAAGACGAUCAGAUACCGUCGUAGUCUUAACCAUAAACUAUGCCGACUAGGGAUCGGAUGAUGUUAAUUUUUUAAUGACUCAUUCGGCACCUUACGGGAAAC